ensembl:lncRNA
UGCAACUACAUAUCUAUGGUGUGCUGAGUAUUCCGCACAAUUACUUAAUUUAAACUUGACAAUUAUCCCUGUUUUACAGAUUAGCAAACUGAGUCUCAGGAAGGCUAAGUUACAAUAAAGGCACAGAGUAAAUGGCAAUGCCUAUAUUUCACUCUACCACAACACCUUGCUAAUGAAAAUACCUAAGCUCAUCUGAAGUUUAUACUUUAAAAUAUUCUUGUCAAGAAACUCUAUGUCUAGAAUAACAAGUCAUUCCACCACUCCUCCCACUCUCAAGUCCUACCCACUCCACCACACACCUUCCCUCUGACACACACUCACAUCCAUUCCCUACACCCACUUGCCUUCUUCCAAGCCUUCACAGAGCUGUUCCCUCUGCUUAGACUGUCCUACCUUUCUUCCCCACUUAAGAGAACCCCAACCCAUCCUCCCCAAUGGGACAGUGACUUCAAAAUCUUUGCUCCCUCUCCCAAGGAGGAUUAGCUGCGUCCACUCCAGCAUGUGUGAUCAGUUUAUCUUUCUGUCAGAUCGCACAUCCACCACUUGAGAUUGGCAUUUGCCUACCUCUUUGACCACUACUAGAACAUGAACUCCUCAAAAUCAGGGUCUGGAACCUACUUCUGCAUAUCUGUUCAUCUAAGUACUUAGGGAGCGCACAGUGGGAGUUCAAAAAGUGCUUGUUGAAUUCAUGAAUGAAUUUCCUUUUAAAUCAAGGUCGAUAUUUCAUAUGUCCUAGAUUGUGAAUGAAUCAUAUGUACGUAAACACUGUGAAGUAACUGGCUCUUAAAUGAGUUUAAGAAUGACUACGAAGAAAGGCUUCACUCACCCAAACCCAGUUUUUUCAGAGACCUCGCCCGGUUUCAUCUGUUUCAGCCCAGGCACGAGAUGGCCCCGCCUCCCUGCCUGCCAAUCAACCGGCCCUCGCGCCUGCGCAGACAUCGUCCUCUCACGAAGCCCCGCCCCAGUCACCGCCCCGGGACUGUUGCGGGCGGUUAGAUGUGGCGGGAGCUCUUCCUUCAUUAGCUCGCCCACUAUGACGAUCACCUACAGCUGCAUUGCAAAUGGCCGAGCGGUCCUAGCGGAGCUGGCCCUAACCGGCGGGUCUUAUCAGGAAGCAGCAGCAGCAGUGCUUAAGCUAGUACUUCUUAGAGCUGAACCAAAGACCAUGAUUCAAAUGGGAAGGUUAGUGAGACUUUUCUGA